rnacentral:rRNA from 1 species
GAGAGGUGGGUGGAAUUCCUGGUGUAGCAGUGAAAUGCGUAGAUAUCAGGAGGAACACCGAUGGCGAAGGCAGCCCACCGGCUCGCAACUGACGCUGAGGCACGAAAGCGUGGGGAUCAAACAGGAUUAGAUACCCUGGUAGUCCACGCCUUAAACGAUGUAUGCUUGGUGUUGGGUCGCAAGACUCAGUGCCGGAGGAAACCUAUUAAGCAUACCACCUGGGGAUACGAUCGCAAGGUUGAAACUCAAAGGAAUUGACGGGGGCCCGCACAAGCGGUGGAUCAUGUGGUUUAAUUCGAUGCAACGCGAAGAACCUUACCCGGGCUCGAAGUGCAGGUAGUAAAGAGAUGAAAGUCAAAUGAACCGUUAAGUCGGUUGCCUGCAGAGGUGCUGCAUGGCUGUCGUCAGCUCGUGCCGUGA